UGGGGAAUUUUGGACAAUGGGCGAAAGCCUGAUCCAGCAAUGCCGCGUGUGUGAAGAAGGCCUUCGGGUUGUAAAGCACUUUUGUCCGGAAAGAAAUGGCUCUGGUUAAUACCUGGGGUCGAUGACGGUACCGGAAGAAUAAGGACCGGCUAACUACGUGCCAGCAGCCGCGGUAAUACGUAGGGUCCAAGCGUUAAUCGGAAUUACUGGGCGUAAAGCGUGCGCAGGCGGUUGUGCAAGACCGAUGUGAAAUCCCCGAGCUUAACUUGGGAAUUGCAUUGGUGACUGCACGGCUAGAGUGUGUCAGAGGGGGGUAGAAUUCCACGUGUAGCAGUGAAAUGCGUAGAGAUGUGGAGGAAUACCGAUGGCGAAGGCAGCCCCCUGGGAUAACACUGACGCUCAUGCACGAAAGCGUGGGGAGCAAACAGGAUUAGAUACCCUGGUAGUCCACGCCCUAAACGAUGUCAACUAGUUGUUGGGAUUCAUUUCCUUAGUAACGUAGCUAACGCGUGAAGUUUGACCGCCUGGGGAGUACGGUCGCAAGAUUAAAAGCUCAAAUGAAUUGACGGGG
rnacentral:rRNA from 1 species